GUUAGGGUGACAUGUGAGUAUUGUGUGGGUCCAUUUAUGGACUCUGUUCUGUCCACACCACACUCUCUUGAUGACUCUAGCUUUAUGUCUG